rnacentral:tRNA from 1 species
GUCUCAUUCGUUCAAUGGAAAGGACAGGGGAUUUCUAAUCCCCCGAUACAGGUUCGAGCCCUGUAUGAGACA